UACGAAGGGGGCUAGCGUUGUUCGGAAUUACUGGGCGUAAAGCGCACGUAGGCGGAUUUGUAAGUCAGGGGUGAAAUCCCGGGGCUCAACCUCGGAACUGCCUUUGAUACUGCAAGUCUCGAGUCCGAUAGAGGUGAGUGGAAUUCCUAGUGUAGAGGUGAAAUUCGUAGAUAUUCGGAAGAACACCAGUGGCGAAGGCGGCUCACUGGCCCGGUACUGACGCUGAUGUGCGAAAGCGUGGGGAGCAAACAGGG
rnacentral:rRNA from 1 species